UACGUAGGGUGCAAGCGUUGUCCGGAAUUAUUGGGCGUAAAGAGCUUGUAGGGGGUUUGUCGCGUCUGCUGUGAAAUUUCGGGGCUCAACCCCGAACUUGCAGUGGGUACGGGCAGACUAGAGUGUGGUAGGGGAGACUGGAAUUCCUGGUGUAGCGGUGAAAUGCGCAGAUAUCAGGAGGAACACCGAUGGCGAAGGCAGGUCUCUGGGCCACUACUGACGCUGAGAAGCGAAAGCAUGGGGAGCGAACAGG
rnacentral:rRNA from 1 species